rnacentral:rRNA from 1 species
CCCGGCACAAGCGAGGAACAUGUGGUUUAAUUCGAUGAUACGCGAGACUUACCGGCUUGAAUGCAUCUGACCGGCUUGGAAACAGGCCUUCUAGCAAUAGCAGAUGUGUAGGUGCUGCAUGGUUGUCGUCAGCUCGUGCCGUGAGGUGUCGGCUUAAGUGCCAUAACGAGCGCAACCCUUAUCAUUAGUUGCCAGCGGGUCAUGCCGGGAACUCUAAUGAGACUGCCACCGUAAGGUGUGAGGAAGGUGGGGAUGACGUCAAAUCAGCACGGCCCUUACGUCCGGGGCGACACACGUGUUACAAUGGGGGGUACAGAGGGUCGCUACCUAGUGAUAGGAUGCUAAUCUCAUAAAGCCUCUCUCAGUUCGGAUCGGAGUCUGCAACUCGACUCCGUGAAGCUGGAUUCGCUAGUAAUCGCGCAUCAGCCAUGGCGCGGUGAAUACGUUCCCGGGCCUU